rnacentral:ncRNA from 2 species
AGGAGCCGUGUAAUGGGGAAACCAUUACGCACGGUUUUGAAGACCAGUGGGACUGGUAACAGUCUCACUGAGUUUAAU